ACACGCAUGACACACUGCAUAUCAAUAAGCGGAGGAAAAGAAACUAACAAGGAUCCCCUUAGUAACGGCGAGUGAAGCGGGAAGAGCUCAAAUUUGAAAUCUUCAAGGUUCUACCUUGACGAAUUGUAGUUUAUAGAAGUGUUUUCUGUUAGUAGGAGUGGCAAAAGUUCUUUGGAAUAGGACAUCAUAGAGGGUGAGAAUCCCGUAUUUGGACCAUUACUUCCUAGCGUUGUGAUACACUUUCAAAGAGUCGGAUUGUUUGGGAAUGCAGUCCAAAAUGGGUGGUAAAUUUCAUCUAAAGCUAAAUAUUGGCGAGAGACCGAUAGCGAACAAGUACCGUGAGGGAAAGAUGAAAAGAACUUUGAAAAGAGAGUUAAACAGUACGUGAAAUUGUCAAAAGGGAAGCGUUUGACACCAGUGUUGUUUUUCCGAAAAUCAAUUACGAAUGUUUUAGUUUUUGAGGAGUUAUGACUUCAUCGGCUUGCUCCUUUCUUUACGAAACUUUCCUUAAUGCACUUUUCGGUUAACAAGUCAACAUCAAUUUCUUUUGUUGUAAAAGGGUAUGAGGAAGGUGGCUUUCUUUUCGGAGAAAGUGUUUAUAGCCUUGUGCCUCUGCAAUCGGAGAGAUUGAGGUCUGCAGCGUAGAUCCUUCGGGGUUAGAUACGUUUGUGCUAAGUUAUAGCUUUUCAUAGACAACUUGUUGACUAUGUUUAGUCUUGUAGCUUACUCGCUUACGCUAUUUUACCUACGCUUAGGAUGUUGAGCGCAUGUCUCUCUCU
rnacentral:rRNA from 1 species